UUGUUUUAGUAGCACAUAUAUAGAAAAAGGAAGAGUACAUGGAAAAUUAGCAUGGCCACCAUCCAAGGAUGAUACACUGAUUCAUGAAGGAUCACCUUUGUUU